ensembl:lncRNA
UAGAACUAGGGGCUUCCCUGGUGGCUCAGAUGGUAGAGCGUCUGUCUACAAUGUGGGAGACCUGGGUUCGAUCCCUGGGUCAGGAAGAUUCCCUGGAGAAGGAAACGGCAACCCACUCCAGUACUCUUGCCUAGAAAAUCCCAUGGACGGAGGAGCUUGGUGCAGGCUACUGUCCAUGGGGUCACAAAGAGUCAGGCACGACUGAGCGACUUCGCUUCAGCCAUGUGAAGUCUUCUGUGCCUGACCUCUUUCACUCAGCGUCGUGUGUUUGAGGCUCAUUCCUGCUGCAGCACGAUGUGGAAUGUUCUCCGUUUUCCUGCUGAGGAGUGUUCCAUGUGUGAACAUUGAUUCGUCAGCUGAUGGGCAUUCAGACUGUUUCCAGCUUGGGACUCUUACAAAUAAUGCUGAUCUGAACAUCUGUGCCCAAUUCUCUGUGUGAUCAACUGUUUUCCUUUCCCUUGGGUAGGCACCUGGGAGUGGAAUUCUUCAGUCAUAUGAUAAGUGUAUGUUUAACUUUUUCAAGAAACUGCCAGACAAUUUCAGAAGAUCUGGCUUGAGCCGAGGAGGGAAUGAAGAAGACUGCUCACACCCCUCCCACCUCCCUCUGUCUCUUUGCCUUGCUCUGAGUCAGGCCAGUCACUGUCUCUCUCUCUUUUUAUCUGUCAGCAAAUCCAGUUUGUUCAGAAUGAGAUUGUUUCAUGUUCAUCUGAGUUUGGGUUUUUCUUUCACUGUUUCCCCAACAAGCGCUAGGUCUUCUGGCAGACGACAUACAUAGGAAAUGAUUUUGUGUGGCCUUUGUUUCUUGCCUUACAAUCAUUAAAAAAAAAGUCAUUUCCUGAAACUGCUUUUUCAGCUCGUACUCUGAGGGAUUCUGUCUGGUCUGUGGUAGAGAGGACGGCUCAUGCGGUCCAGCCACUCGUGGGCUGUGAGGAGAGUCUGGUCAGCGUCCAGAUGCUCAGGGUGAGGGGUUCUGGGUUCCGCCCAGCCUCUGCUCUUGAUCUAACUGAGUGUGUUCCCGGGUUGUCCCCUGCCUUCCAGCCUUUGGGGCCUGAGGUUUGCUAACUAGACACCCAGCAGCCAUCUGUGACGAUUCUCAGCUGAUUCCCCAGCAGACAGCUGCUCUAUUUGUACCCCCAGGGGCUUUCCAUGUGUAAGGAAGUCCCCUAGGAGCCCCAGACUUGUAAGCCCCCAGGCCAGCACCACUGUCUCCUGGGUGAAAUGGGACAGGCUGGGGGCGGGGGGGUGCUGCAAAAACGCAAGUGGGUGCUCCCCGCUCAUCACUCACCAUCAACAUGAUCUUAAGCAAGUGAUUCACUUAUUAAGCCCUCAUUUCGUAAGGGGGCCUCCACUUGUGGAGUUUUUACAUCAAAGGCAAUAAUCAUAAAAGCACCUCCCAGGUCACUUGCCAUGGAGAAAGGGUUUCCUGAAGGCUAUUUGGAUGCUUUCCCAUCACAUUCCUCCACAGAAGCAGGUAAAGGGUCAUCUGGAAACCUGAGGGACAGGCUGGGGAGAGAACCCACCAGGAGCCACUGCCCUCUCCUUGUACCCCCCUUGUGCUCAGUUCAACAGCUGGGCCCUUCUGACUGGACACUGCGCUUGACUGAAGGAUGCAAAGCCAAAGAGAUAGUUUGGUAUCGAAGAUGGACAAGGACCAGAAAAAGGGAGGGCAGAGGCUGCACCGAAAACGGAAGGUGCUUCAUCCCUCAGGACCCUCCAGCACUGGCCUGACCUUGCUGGGGGCAGCUUAUGCCGACAGAAAACACUUGAAAUCCAGCGUGGACGUCAGAAACCCUCAGUGUAGACUGAAGGGUCCUCCAUUCCUUUAAAGCCUCUGUUCACCUGUUCUCAAAAUUGAAGCAACUCUCUGAUGCCAACACCUUAAUUUCUAAUCCGAAGGGCACGUCCCAUCACUAUGUGCCUGCCGCUCAUGGUCUGUUGCUACACAUCCAAGCACUUCAAUACAUUUGUGGAAGUGGCACAGAAAACUAUCUUGUGAUGCGUGUGAUUCCAUGGAUCCGGAAUUCAGACAGACUCUGCAGGAUGGCUUGUCGGCGUUGUGGCACUGCGGCCUCUGCCGGGUCCUAGAAUCGUCUGGAGGUUCCUUCACUCCAGAUGGCCUUUGGGCUGGCGUCUCUGAAGGCUGAACUCAGCUGGGAUUGUCAACCAAAGCUUCCACCCAUGGCCUAGGACUUCUUACAGCCUGGUAGCCAGGUUCAAGAGGGUGUGUUCCAGGAGGAAAUUCCAGAGUGCUAUAUGUAUUUCCAUUCUUCCCACUCAAGUCUGAGAACCGGAUUACUGGCCUUUGGUGGUCCUGCCAGGUAUUAGUCAGAUGGGAAUUGUGACUCUGAACACAGACCUCACCAGGAAGAGUAUACGGCGGGGUGAGAUGACAGGAGUGUGCCCUGCGCUUAAAGUUCAGUUUGGUUUCCCGUUUUAUUUUUGGCAAAGCCUUUGGAUUUAGAUUUCUGAGCAGGAUGUGCAGUUCAGUUCAGUUCAGUCGCUCAGUUGUGUCGGACUCUGUGAACCCAUGGACUGCGGCGCAGCAGGGCUUCCCUGUCCAACACCAGCUCCCAGAGCUUGCUCAAACUCACGUCCAUCAAGUCAGUGAUGCCAUCCAACCAUCUCAUCCUCUGUCAUCCCAUCAUUCUCCUCCUGCCUUCAGUUUUUCCCAGCAUCAGAAUCUUUUCCAAUGAGUCAGUUCUUCACGUGAGGGGGCCAAAGUAUUGGAGCUUCAGCUUCGGCAUCAGUCCUUCCAAUGAAUAUUCAGGACUGAUUUCCUUUAGGAUUGACUGGUUUGAUCUCUUUGCUGUCCAAGGGACUCUCAAGAGUCUUCUCCAAUACCGCAGUUCAAAACACAUCAAUUCUUUGACGCUGAGCUUUCUUUAUGGUUCAACUCUCACAUCCAUCCAUGACUACUGGAAAAACCGUAGCUUUGACUAGAUGGACAUCUGUCAGCAAAGUAAUGUCUCUGCUUUUGAAUAUGCUGUCUAGGUUUGUCACAGCUUUUCUUCCAAGGAGCAACCGUCUUUUAAUAUCAUGGCUUCAGUCACCAUCUGCAGUGAUUUUGGAGCCCAAGAAAAAAAGUCUCUCACCGUUUCCAUUGUUUCCCCAUCGAUUUGCCAUGAAGUGAUGGACCAGAUACCAUGAUCUUAGCUUUCUGAAUGUUGAGUUUUAAGCCAGCUUCUUCACUCUCCUCUUUCACUUCCAUCAAGAGGCUCUUUAGUUCCUCUUCACUUUCUGCCAUAAGGGUGGUGCCAUAAGGCAAGAUGUGCGACCUGCCCAAUUUACUUCACCUUGGCUUUAAUUUUUACUAGGCAAGAGGAUCUUUAUCCAGGUAGUUGGGCCAUUCUGGCUCACCUGUCCUCCUUUCCACACCUUUGAAGACAUUAAGUGUUCCAAGAAGUGCCAGAGAGGACUCCUGGGGGGUUCAGAUCCUGUCCCUUUUAGGGUCGGUGUGCUCCUCACCUUUAACUAUGAGCAGUGUCCUCACCCACACAGUAAACGUUCAUUCAGUACUUACUCUGAACCCCAUGUUACUGAGCAGGAUAUAUUUCUUGCCCCUCGAGGAUCACACAGGUGUGUAUGAAUGGACGAGGCAGUGUUGUGGGAAGACAGUUUCAAGGAGAGCAGCAUGCUGUGAGCAUGCCGGCUCUAGACCUGGCCCUGGCGCAGAGCAGGUGUUGGUCAGGGUAAGCCUGCCGGAGUGGAGACACACGGGGAAUGAGAGGAGGAGGAGCAGAGAUGAAGAGAACAGAAGGCACUUCAGAGAGGAAGCAGCAACUGCAGAGAUCCAGAAAGACAAUAGAGAAUUCCACAGAUAUCCAGACCCCAGCCAGUCUUACUCAACGAGUUCCCUUGCUUCUCACCAGCUCCAACUCUAAUGCUCGAUAAGCAACUCCUGAAACUCACUGGAACCUGUGGGUUUUGCCUGGAUCAGCCUCUCUCAUUUUGUAGUCCAGCAGAACAAACUCUGGUGCUUCUCGAGUCUGUGUCUCCCAGGCUACAGCCUUAACAAACCCCAAAUAAAC